UACGUAGGGGGCAAGCGUUGUCCGGAAUUAUUGGGCGUAAAGAGCGCGUAGGCGGUCCGGUAAGUCAGCUGUGAAAGCAAGGGCUCAACCCUUGAAAGCCGGCUGAUACUGCCGGACUAGAGUCCGGAAGAGGCGAGUGGAAUUCCCGGUGUAGCGGUGAAAUGCGCAGAUAUCGGGAGGAACACCGAUGGCGAAGGCAAGGUCUCUGGGCAUUAACUGACGCUGAGGAGCGAAAGCAUGGGAGCGAACAGG
rnacentral:rRNA from 1 species